UCGCCUUACUAUGGCGUUGUCCUGUUUCGC
rnacentral:sRNA from 1 species